UACGUAGGGUGCGAGCGUUAAUCGGAAUUACUGGGCGUAAAGCGUGCGCAGGCGGUUUUGUAAGCCAGAUGUGAAAGCCCCGGGCUCAACCUGGGAAUGGCAUUUGGGACUGCAAGGCUUGAGUGCGGCAGAGGAGACUGGAAUUCCUGGUGUAGCAGUGAAAUGCGUAGAUAUCAGGAGGAAUACCAGCGGCGAAGGCGGCGCUCUGGGCCGGUACUGACGCUGAGGAGCGAAAGCGUGGGGAGCAAACAGG
rnacentral:rRNA from 1 species